GGCCCAAUGGUCUAGUCGUAGGAUACUCCCUUCGGGUUUCUGCCCGCUUCUUUCGGAGCGCAGUGGGAGUGGUCCCGGGUUCAAUUCCCGGUUGAGCCC